GUGCACGUGAAGAUCACAGUAUAUGGGAGGGAUGUAUAACUGUCUCAGUAGACCAUCAAAUAUAUACACACAAAAUUAGUUGACAUUGCAGUGCAGCCCAUGUGCCUAUCAUCAUCAAACCAAAAAAGGGAAUGAAUUCUUUGGAUAUAGCUUCAAAAAGGGUUGAAUGAAAGAUUUGAAGAGAUCUCUAUUCUUUUGAGUCACAUGCAACAAGAUGAUAAGAGAUAAAGGUGAUGCGUCAGCUCAACCAAUUUGGAGAGUGAUAGUUUGACUGAAUUUUCCUGGCAAAAAAUAUCCAGCUUUGUGGUCAUUUUCAAUCAUGACGAUUUCGUCUUGGGAAGUAAUGGUUGAGAGAGCAUGCUGCGAUUUUGUUUGAUGGAGCUUCAUUUUGUAAUCUCAUGCAACAUGUUUCCAUCCGUAAACUGAAAUUUUAUUAACAUAUCAUGUUUCUUAAAAAAACAUCUUAGUUUCAAUCAUAUCAAAAAACUUUACCA